rnacentral:rRNA from 1 species
AUUGAACGCUGGCGGCAGGCCUAACACAUGCAAGUCGAACGAGUGGCGGACGGGUGAGUAAUGUCUGGGAAACUGCCCGAUGGAGGGGGAUCACUACUGGAAACGGUAGCUAAUACCGCAUACCAUCGGAUGUGCCUAGGUGGGAUGAGCUAGUAGGUGGGUUAACGGCUCACCUAGGCGACGAUCCCUAGCUGGUCUGAGAGGGUGACCAGCCACUCGUGAACGGAAACACGGUCCGGACUCCUACGGGAGGCAGCAGUGGGGAAUAUUGCACAAUGGGCGCAAGCCUGAUGCAGCCAUGCGGGGUGUUUGAAGAAGGCCUUCGGGUUGUAAAGUACUUUCAGCGAGGAGGCGUUACUCGCAGAGGAAGCACCGGCUAACUCCGUGCCAGCAGCCGCGGUAAUAC